CCCCUCUCAGGGUCGCACCUGGAGAGCUUCCAGUCCUCUACCGGUCUCAGCUACAGGAGGGAGAGAGUCAAGCAGAGGUCUACCCAUUCCAUUCCUAGCUUGGCCAGCGGCUAGCAAGUGGAAGGCAAUCGGCUACAAGU